CCCUUCGGCGGGGGACAACAGUCCGAAAGGAUUGCUAAUACCGCAUACGUCAGCGAGCCCUUCGGGGUUUGCUGGGAAAGAUGGCCUCUUCAUGAAAGCUAUCACCGAAGGAUGAGUCCGCGGCCCAUCAGCUAGUUGGCGGGGUAAUGGCCCACCAAGGCUUAGACGGGUAGCUGGUCUGAGAGGAUGAUCAGCCACACUGGAACUGAGACACGGUCCAG
rnacentral:rRNA from 1 species